UACGUAGGGUGCAAGCGUUGUCCGGAAUUAUUGGGCGUAAAGAGCUCGUAGGCGGUUUGUCGCGUCGAAUGUGAAAUCCCGGGGCUCAACCCCGGGUCUGCAUUCGAUACGGGCAGACUAGAGUUCGGUAGGGGAGUCUGGAAUUCCUGGUGUAGCGGUGAAAUGCGCAGAUAUCAGGAGGAACACCGGUGGCGAAGGCGGAUCUCUGGGCCUUACCUGACGCUGAGGAGCGAAAGCAUGGGGAGCAAACAGG
rnacentral:rRNA from 1 species